ACGAACACUGGCAACGUGCUUAACACAUGCAAGUCGAACGAUAAGGCCUUUCGGGGUACACGAGCGGCGAACGGGUGAAUAACACGUGGGUGAUCUACCCUGCACUCUAAAAUAAACCUGGGAAACUGGGUCUAAUACUGGAUAUGACCUACUCUCGCAUAAAAAUGGGUGGAAAGAUUUAUCGAUGCAGGAUGGGCCCACGGCCUAUCAACUUGUUGGUAGGAUAAUGGCCUACCAAGGCGACGACGGGUAGCCAACCUGAGAGGGUGACCGGCCACACUGGGACUGAGACACGGCCCAGACUCCUACGGGAGGCAGCAGUGGGGAAUAUUGCACAAUGGGCGGAAGCCUGAUGCAGCGACGCCGCGUGAGGGAUGAAGGCCUUCGGGUUGUAAACCUCUUUCAGCAGGGACGAAGCGUGAGUGACGGUACCUGCAGAAGAAGCACCGGCUAACUACGU
rnacentral:rRNA from 1 species